AUUGAACGCUGGCGGCAGGCCUAACACAUGCCAGUCGAGCGGAUGAAGGGAGCUUGCUCCUGGAUUCAGCGGCGGACGGGUGAGUAAUGCCUAGGAAUCUGCCUUGUAGUGGGGGAUAACGUCCGUAAACGGGCGCUAAUACCGCAUACGUCCUGAGGGAGAAAGUGGGGGAUCUUCGGACCUCACGCUAUCUGAUGAGCCUAGGUCGGAUUAGCUAGUUGGUGGGGUAAAGGCCUACCAAGGCGACGAUCCGUAACUGGUCUGAGAGGAUGAUCAGUCACACUGGAACUGAGACACGGUCCAGACUCCUACGGGAGGCAGCAGUGGGGAAUAUUGGACAAUGGGCGAAAGCCUGAUCCAGCCAUGCCGCGUGUGUGAAGAAGGUCUUCGGAUUGUAAAGCACUUUAAGUUGGGAGGAAGGGCAGUAAGUUAAUACCUUGCUGUUUUGACGUUACCAACAGAAUAAGCACCGGCUAACUUCGUG
rnacentral:rRNA from 1 species